GAGGGAGAUGAUGUCUUUCUAUGUGAAUACGAGUAUGAUGUCCGCUGGCACAGUUUUAAACGUAUUGCAGAUCUC